rnacentral:rRNA from 1 species
CACGUAGGGUGCAAGCGUUGUCCGGAAUUAUUGGGCGUAAAGGGCUCGUAGGCGGUCCGUCACGUCGGGAGUGAAAACUCGGGGCUCAACCCCGAGCCUGCUUCCGAUACGGGCGGACUAGAGGUAGGUAGGGGAGAACGGAAUUCCUGGUGUAGCGGUGAAAUGCGUAGAUAUCAGGAGGAACACCGGUGGCGAAGGCGGCUAUCUGGACAGAAACUGACGCUGAGGCGCGAAAGCUAGGGGAGCAAACAGG